GUAUGAUCAAACACUUUUUGAGGAUGAAAGCAAGAACAGACUGAUGGAAACUAAGGAGCUUUUUGAAUGGAUCCUGAAGCAACCAUGUUUUGAGAAAACGUCCUUCAUGUUAUUUUUAAACAAGUUUGACAUAUUUGAGAAGAAGAUCCUGAAUGUUCCGCUCAACGUAUGUGAAUCAGAUUUUGGGUAUACUAGAGGCCAGGUAUACAACAGUAUAUAAUCAAUUUAUUGAUUUGUAUCAAGUAAAUGAUGUUGAAUGGGUGGAUAGAGAAAGACCUUUGGGUAUACUAGAGGCCAGAUAUACAACAGUAUAUAAUCAAUUUAUUGAUUUGUAUCAAGUAAAUGAUGUUGAAUGGGUGGAUAGAGAAAGACCUUUACGAGUUCAUGAUCAACGCAAAUUAGUUGCGCUGAAAUUUUCAGAGAUGAUAUAAUCUAUGAUGCACAUUUACAGAUUGAAACUCACUAAUUAUAUGUCAUAUUUUGUAUCCAAUGCUGGUCUUUAAGUAAGGUUCAAGUUUGAAUCUUAUGAAUGGAAAGCAUAGUCACUGAGAGCCAAGAAAUGAGGUUUCACAGAUGUAAUUGUGUGUGUGAGUCUGUGUUUUUGCUUGUAGUUAAUUUGAAGAUUCUUAUGUUAGCU